AGCGAACGCUGGCGGCAGGCCUAACACAUGCAAGUCGAACGAGACCUUCGGGUCUAGUGGCGGACGGGUGAGUAACACGUGGGAACGUGCCUUUAGGUUCGGAAUAACUAAGGGAAACUUGAGCUAAUACCGAAUGUGCCCUUCGGGGGAAAGAUUUAUCGCCUUUAGAGCGGCCCGCGUCUGAUUAGCUAGUUGGUGAGGUAAUGGCUCACCAAGGCUACGAUCAGUAGCUGGUCUGAGAGGAUGAUCAGCCACAUUGGGACUGAGACACGGCCCAAACUCCUACGGGAGGCAGCAGUGGGGAAUCUUGCGCAAUGGGCGAAAGCCUGACGCAGCCAUGCCGCGUGUAUGAUGAAGGUCUUAGGAUUGUAAAAUACUUUCACCGGUGAAGAUAAUGACUGUAGCCGGAGAAGAAGCCCCGGCUAACUUCGUGCCAGCAGCCGCAGUAACAC
rnacentral:rRNA from 1 species